GGAGAGGUGGUCGAGUGGUUGAUGGCACCCGCCUCGAAAGCGGACGGACGUGAUGAGCGUCCCGAGAGUUCGAAUCUCUCCCUCUCCACCA
rnacentral:tRNA from 1 species